rnacentral:rRNA from 1 species
GACGAACGCUGGCGGCGUGCUUAACACAUGCAAGUCGAACGGUAAGGCCCUUCGGGGGUACACGAGUGGCGAACGGGUGAGUAACACGUGGGUGAUCUGCCCUGCACUUCGGGAUAAGCCUGGGAAACUGGGUCUAAUACCGGAUAGGACCACUGCCUGCAUGGGUGGUGGUGGAAAGCUUUUGCGGUGUGGGAUGGGCCCGCGGCCUAUCCGCUUGUUGGUGGGGUGAUGGCCUCCCAAGGCGACGACGGGUAGCCGGCCGGAGAGGGUGACCGGCCACACUGGGACUGAGAUACGGCCCAGACUCCUACGUGAGGCAGCAGUGGGAAAUAUUGCACAAUGGGCGCAAGCCUGAUGCAGCGGCGCCGCGUGGGGGAUGACGGCCUUCGGGUUGUAAACCUCUUUCAGCACCGACGAAGCGCAAGUGACGGUAGGUGCAGAAGAAGGACCGGCCAACUACGUGCCAGCCGCCGCAGUAA